rnacentral:rRNA from 1 species
UGAGGAAUAUUGGUCAAUGGACGCAAGUCUGAACCAGCCAAGUAGCGUGCAGGAUGACGGCCCUAUGGGUUGUAAACUGCUUUUAUAUGGGGAUAAAGUGGGGAACGUGUUCCCUUUUGCAGGUACCAUAUGAAUAAGGAACGGCUAAUUCCGUGCCAGCAGCCGCGGUAAUACGGAAGGUUCGGGCGUUAUCCGGAUUUAUUGGGUUUAAAGGGAGCGUAGGCCGUUUGGUAAGCGUGUUGUGAAAUGUAGGAGCUCAACUUCUAGAUUGCAGCGCGAACUGUCAGACUUGAGUGCGCACAACGUAGGCGGAAUUCAUGGUGUAGCGGUGAAAUGCUUAGAUAUCAUGAAGAACUCCGAUUGCGAAGGCAGCUUUCGGGAGCGCAACUGACGCUGAAGCUCGAAGGUGCGGGUAUCGAACAGG